AUACGGAGGAUCCGAGCGUUAUCCGGAUUUAUUGGGUUUAAAGGGUGCGCAGGCGGCCAUUUAAGUCAGCGGUUAAAUCGUGGGGCUCAACCCCAUUCUGCCGUUGAUACUGGGUGGCUUGAUUGCGGUCGAGGUUGGCGGAAUUCGUUGUGUAGCGGUGAAAUGCAUAGAUAUGACGAAGAACACCGAUUGCGUAGGCAGCUGACCAGACCGCAAAUGACGCUCAUGCACGAAAGUGCGGGGAUCGAACAGGAUUAGAUACCCUGGUAGUCCGCACAGUAAACGAUGAAUACUUGUUUUCGGCGAUAUAAUGUCGGAGGCAAAGCGAAAGCGAUAAGUAUUCCACCUGGGGAGUACGCCGGCAACGGUGAAACUCAAAUGAAUCGGCGGGG
rnacentral:rRNA from 1 species